GCCUCGGUGGCGCAGUAGGCAGCGCGUCAGUCUCAUAAUCUGAAGGUCGUGAGUUCCAACCUCACAUGGUGCA
rfam:Danio rerio unplaced genomic contig NA471, GRCz11 reference primary assembly.